GCUAGCGUAGCUUAAUUUAAAGCAUAACGCUGAAGACGUUAAGACUGGGCCCUAAGAAGCUCCGCCAGCA
rnacentral:tRNA from 1 species